UUCCUCUCACUUUGCAGAGAAGCCGUUGCCACAAGGUGGCCCUGGAGGCUUCAUCGGCAUCUUGGGGAUCAUAGUAGCUGGUGGACUCAUCAUUGGAGUGGCCGUCACUGUGUUUGUGGUCUACAGACGGCAGCAGAAGACUCGCACGGAGACCGACAACGACCUGACCGAUCUCCCUCCAGCUCACAAGCCAGCCCCUCCCCCACCCAAGAAGAAGAACACUGAAUUCAAGUGCCACUUGACGUCUGAAGAAAUCCAGAACCCUGGGAAGCAUUAUGAAGAGCUACCCAACACAGCUGACUAUGUGAGCUAUCGCCUUGCCUGCAACAAAGAGGAUUGCAUUGAUCCCCACCCCCCUUCAGUGUACCCUCCACUGACGUAUCUGCCACAGAACCCCUACACACACCUUCCCUCCAGCAAUCCAGCAUUCAGGUGCCCGGUUCCAGGUUCGAUCGCUCCUUACACCUUCCCCAAAGAGCAAUAUGUCUAGGUAGCUGGCUCCACUUGGUAGAAACCUUAAUUUGAAAAGUAAUGAAUAAUAAUAAUGAUAGUAAUGGAUAAUUAAUGUACAGCGUGGGGUUCUUACAAUUUAUGGACAUAUCUGUGCUGUAUCGGCCCCGUGUGCGUGGUGUACAGCAUGUUUCAUCAAAAUGAUGCCCGGGCCCCUCAUGAU